rnacentral:tRNA from 1 species
GCCGGAGUAGCUCAGUGGUAGAGCAUUUCACUCGUAAUGAAAAGGCCAGGGGUUCGACUCCCCUCUCCGGCUCCA